GAUGAACGCUAGCUACAGGCUUAACACAUGCAAGUCGAGGGGUAACGAGAGGAAAGCUUGCUUUCCUUGUCGACGACCGGCGCACGGGUGAGUGACGCGUAUCCAACCUGCCCCCAACUAGGGAAUAACCUUGCGAAAGUAAGACUAAUACCCUAUAAUUUCCUCAGAUGUCAUCUGACGAGGAAUAAAGAUUUAUCGGUUGUGGAUGGGGAUGCGUCUGAUUAGCUUGUUGGCGGGGUAACGGCCCACCAAGGCAACGCUCAGUAGGGGUUCUGGGAGGAAGGUGCCCCGCAUUGGAACUGAGACACGGUGCAAACGCCUACGGGAGGCAGCAGUGGGGAAUAUUGGACAAUGGGCGGAAGCCUGAUCCAGCAACGCCGCGUGGGGGAUGACGGCCUUCGGGUUGUAAACCUCUUUCAGCACAGACGAAGCUGUCCUCACGUGUGGGGGUGGUGACGGUAUGUGCAGAAGAAGCACCGGCCAACUACGUGCCAGCCGCCGCGGUAA
rnacentral:rRNA from 1 species